ensembl:lncRNA
GUCCAUUGAUCUUCAUCCAAAAAGACCACAAUGAGCCAUAAAAGCAUUUCAGGGCAGUCGCCAAGAAGCACAUACUCUAAAGUGGUUAUGAUGCACAAGGUCGUUAAAUGCUGGACUUUCUCCAACUGUAUGUCUGCACAAAGAAUAAGCAAAUCAAUCUGAGACAGGCAUGAUUAUAAGCAGAAAUGCAUCACGGGACUGUCUUCCUGUAGGAUCUGAAGCAUUGUAGUGGAAACAGAGGAGAACGCACAGUUAAUUUUCAUAUAAAUAUUUAUUGCAGAGGAGGUAUCUUUUAUGUACAUGCUAUCACAAUAUAACACAAUAUAAAUCUACCAAAUAUUCCCAUAUAUUGAUGCUAUAAGCUUGUCAUAGAGCAAUAGUUAUAACAAGCACAAUACAGUGGGUUAGAGACAGUAUCACUCACUAUACAACUUGUAACAGUCCAUAAAAGAUCAAUUUUUUCUUUUCUUUCUUUUUUUUUUUGUUCUAUCAAGGGCAGUGAAACAUCGGUCCUACUAAUUUCUUGAAUUCAUGCAGAAGCCACAAGAGCAAGAUUUACGACGUUACAGCGUUGAGUAGUAGUAGUAGUAGCGAUAGUAGUAGUUGUAUUUGCCUUUGUGUGACUUUGUUUGGUCACAAGAAAUAGAAGUCAGGUUUAAAUGAAAGCAGCUAACCAACAAAAAUGCACCAUGGUAGAGACGACCCAAUUGGAGGACAAAGAAGCUACGGGACACGGCGUGGUACAAGAACAAUGAUCUUGGAUUUUCACACCCGAGUAAAUGGCUGAGGUUCAAAUACUCACAGACUCAUUGAUGAAUUCCAGAGAGACGGACAGUAACAAACACUUGGUUAUGUAUCACACUGUUUAAUACGCAUACAGCUAUGGACUGGCAGAACUGAGAAUUCCUGCAGCAAGCACGCUAUUGUAAAUUAAAAAAGUAGACUCAAAGUUACAUAAAACAGUGACUUCAUUUAGUGCUGGGAUGUUGCACUGUCAUUUUUUGGGGUUUAGUUUUAAAAUCAACAUAAAUGACACCAUAAAAAUUCCUUCUGUUGUUAAAAAUGCUAACAUAUUGCUUGUUUUUGGU